rnacentral:rRNA from 1 species
CACGCCGUAAACGAUGAAUGCCAGUCGUCGGUGCGCAUGCGUAUCGGUGACACACCUAACGGAUUAAGCAUUCCGCCUGGGGAGUACGGUCGCAAGAUUAAAACUCAAAGGAAUUGACGGGGGCCCGCACAAGCAGCGGAGCAUGUGGUUUAAUUCGAAGCAACGCGAAGAACCUUACCUGGACUUGACAUACCCUGAAUAUCUUAGAGAUAAGAGAAGCCCUUCGGGGCAGGGAUACAGGUGG